rnacentral:rRNA from 1 species
GAGUUUGAUCCUGGCUCAGAUUGAACGCUGGCGGCAGGCCUAACACAUGCAACGUCGAGCGGUAGAGAGAAGCUUGCUUCUCUCGAGAGCGGCGGACGGGUGAGGUAAUGCCUAGGAAUCUGCCUGGUAGUGGGGGAUAACGCUCGGAAACGGACGCUAAUACCGCAUACGUCCUACGGGAGAAAGCAGGGGACCUUCGGGCCUUGCGCUAUCAGAUGAGCCUAGGUCGGAUUAGCUAGUUGGUGAGGUAAUAGGCUCACCAAGGCGACGAUCCGUAACUGGUCUGAGAGGAUGAUCAGUCACACUGGAACUGAGACGCGGUCCAGACUCUACGGAGGCAGCAGU